rnacentral:pre_miRNA from 1 species
AUCCGGGAGUAAAUUCGUAACUGCUCAAUUCGCCGAGCAGAUGUCGGAGAGUUCAACUGUCAGACAUCUGCUCGGCGAAUUGAGCAGUUAUUUUGACCAAGA